CAAUAGCGUAUAUUAAAGUUGUUGCAGUUAAAAAGCUCGUAGUUGGAUUUCUGGUUGGAGCGACCGGUCGGGCAUUGAUUUGUCUGCACUGGAGUCGGUUCUGGCCAUCCUCUUGGAAAGUGCGUCUGUCAUUAAGUUGUCGGGCGUAUGAUCCAGGUCUUUUACUGUGAAAAAAUUAGAGUGUUUAAAGCAGGCCUUCGCCUUGAAUACAUUAGCAUGGAAUAAUAAGAUAGGACUUUGGUCUAUUUUGUUGGUUUGCAGACCGAAGUAAUGAUUAAUAGGGAUAGUUGGGGGUAUUUAUAUUCCAAUGUCAGAGGUGAAAUUCUUAGAUUUUUGGAAGAUAAACUUAUGCGAAAGCAUUUACCAAGGAUGUUUUCAUUA
rnacentral:rRNA from 1 species